rnacentral:rRNA from 1 species
AGUGAACGCUGGCGGUAGGCCUAACACAUGCAAGUCGAACGGCAGCACAGUAAGAGCUUGCUCUUACGGGUGGCGAGUGGCGGACGGGUGAGGAAUACAUCGGAAUCUACUUUUUCGUGGGGGAUAACGUAGGGAAACUUACGCUAAUACCGCAUACGACCUACGGGUGAAAGCAGGGGAUCUUCGGACCUUGCGCGAUUGAAUGAGCCGAUGUCGGAUUAGCUAGUUGGCGGGGUAAAGGCCCACCAAGGCGACGAUCCGUAGCUGGUCUGAGAGGAUGAUCAGACACACUGGAACUGAGACACGGUCCAGACUCCUACGGGAGGCAGCAGUGGGGAAUAUUGGACAAUGGGCGCAAGCCUGAUCCAGCCAGACCGCGUGGGUGAAGAAGGCCUUCGGGUUGUAAAGCCCUUUUGUUGGGAAAGAAAAGCAGCAGGUUAAUACCCCGAUGUUCUGACGGUACCAAAAGAAUAAGCACCGGCUAACUUCGUG